GGAUAUAGUGUGGUGCAGUGGUUUGAAUGUUAGACUGUGACUCUGGAGACCAGGGUUCAAUUCCCUGCUUGGCCA